rnacentral:lncRNA from 1 species
UUGUAAGCAAAAGGAUUGCUACAGCUCAUAUUUUGAACAGCUAACCAAAAUUCUACAGCCUAUUAGAGGGAGGUUUGGGUCAUUCCAUAGGAAGGGCUGUAUUUAUGGGCAGUAAUCCUAUGGAGUUAGCUUGUAUUCAAGAUUAUGUGAUCCUAGAGUCGUUUUUUCUCUUAACAGAAAAUUAAGACAGCAACAUCCUCUAUAAGUUCGAUCUAUUCCCGGGUGCUUCCCAAAACAGAAUAAAACAAAGAAAUACGGAUAAAACAAUUGAUGCUAUGUAAUAUCAGAAAGGUUACAAGAAAGACUGAAGACUAAAGCUUAUCAAACUGCAGAAAAUGGAGGAAAUAAGUCGACACAAACAUUAGUGUACUGAUUAUCAACUUAUCAUAUUGUAAAACAUUCCUACACCAUUGAGAAAUUCUACAAGCAG